ensembl:lncRNA
GAAGAUUACAGACGGAGCUGCCACAACGUCCAACUUUGUUCGACACCUGAAGUUGCACAAAGAAAGGUAUGAAGAAUACCAGAUGAACAAAAGCAUCGUAGAUGAAUCACAACAGCCUUCAAUCUCACAAAUCCUGGACACUUGUAAUUGAUCCUGCAAGAUGCUGCAGAGACGGAGCAACCUGUGCCUGUGCCAGUGCCUGCUGAAGAAGAACUAGAGGACAUGGAAGGAGAAGGCCUGUUUGCUGCAUACCAUAAGAGGCAGAAAAGGGAUGUUGGGACCCCACCAGCAGUACAGCUAAGUCACUACAUUGACAUGGCAGAAGGACAGAAUGCCCUUUUGUUCUGGGCACUGAACAGUAAGACUCUUCCUUCACUCUUUCAAGUAGCCGAGUCUUGGCAGUGCCUGCUUCUAGUGCUCCAGUGGAGCGAGUUUUCAGCCAUGCUGGCAUCAUUCUGCGUCCCCAUCGUGCACAAAUGACUGACAGACUUUUGGCCAAUUUGAUCUUUUGCAAAUGCAAUGCAGUAUAGGGGCCUCCCUCCACCUGUCCACAGCACGCAUGCGCACCCACACUCACUCUCUGCUCAUCCUGUCCACACAGCUCUCUCACUCACUCACUCACUCACUCACUCAUUCAUACACACCAGUCUCUAUGGAGUCAUUCCAAUUAUAUUAUCAGGUUGGUCCAGUUUUUCACAAGUGAUCAUUUUGAGGAGUGAGGAUUUUAUUGAUGACAUGUUUAAAAAAGUUUAGGCUAAAAGGACCCAUGUCUAUUUGAAAGUUAAACUGUUUUGCAAUAUGAGGUCAAUACAAU